rnacentral:rRNA from 1 species
AAAGGUAAGCUACUAAGAGCGAAUGGUGGAUGCCUUGACUGGUAAAGGCGAUGAAGGACGUACUAGACUGCGAUAAGCUACGGGGAGCUGUCAAGAAGCUUUGAUCCGUAGAUUUCCGAAUGGGGCAACCCAAUGUAUAGAGAUAUACAUUACCUAUAUAGGAGCGAACGAGGGGAAUUGAAACAUCUUAGUACCCUCAGGAAA